AAAGAUACAAGGAACGGGAAAAAGGAAAUUUCCUUGAUUUACAGAGAGCCGGCGGUUGGUGUAAGCCGGUAAGAAGAAAACUUCCAACACUCACCCGUGAGUAUUUCAGCCGAACUAAGUAAGCGGAAACGUCCAUUCACGUUACGAAUAGGAACACCAGAGUAUAAUGUAGGGUGGUACCGCGAAACUUUCGCCCCUAUC
rnacentral:ncRNA from 1 species